GCUCAGUUGCUCCCAGCAGUGGCCCUGGGGCCAGCUCUGCUCCUUGCAUCCCGCUCCCUGCUUGGACACAGGCUCACUCGCUGCCUUCUUCUGGGAAACCAGCUUCUUGCCAGCCACAGCUGCUACUCCCACCACCAGCCACCACUCCUGUCCUGGGAAUCCCUUGUCCCAGACACCCACCUCAUUCAGUGGCUCCUCUACAGGAAAGUGCAGAAUUUCCCAGGGAGAUGGCAGUGUCCAGAAAGUGCCAGGAUUUAAGUUUACCUCAAAAAUGGAAAAUUUUGGCUGGGAAAAUUACAUGUGGGAAGACAUCUUCAGUGGAGAUUUUAGUAAUUACAGUUUCAGCUAUGACCCUACCCCUUUUCUACUAGAUUCUGCCCCAUGUUGGCCAGAAUCCCUAGAAAUCAAUUAUGUUUUGAUCAUCAUCUAUGCCCUGAUGUUUCUACUGAACGUGAUGUGAAACUCCCUGCCGAUGCUGGUCAUCUUAUUCAGCUGAGUCAGCCACUGUCACCGAUGUCUACCUGCUGACCCUGGCCUUGGCCGACCUGUUCUUUUCCCUGACAUUGCCCAUCUUGGCUGCCUCCAAGAUGAAUGGCUGGAUUUUUGGCACAAUCUGUGCCAGGUGGUCUAGCUCCUGAAGGAAGUCAACUUCUACGGUGGUAUUCUACUACUGGCCUGCCGCAGCAUGGACUGUUACCUGGCCAUUGUCCAUGCCACACGCACACUGACCCAGCAGCGCCACUUGGUCAAGUUCAUAUGUCUGGGUUUGUGGAACCUGUUCCUGUUACUGUCCCUACGCAUCUUGCUUUUCCGAAGGACCUUCUACCCAUCCAAUGUUAGCCCAGUCUGCUAUGAGGACAUGGGCAACAAUACAGCAAACUGGUGGAUGCUGUUACGGAUCCUGCCCCAGUCCUUUGGCUUCAUCGUGCCGCUGCGAUCAUGCUGUUCUGCUACAGAUUCACCCUGCAUACGCUGUUUAAGGCCCAUAUGGGGCAGAAGCACUGGACCAUGUGGGUCAUCUUUGCUGUUGUCCUCAUUUUCCUGCUCUGCUGGCUGCCCUACAACCUGGUCCUGCUGGCAGACACCCUCAUGGGAACCCAGAUGACCAAUGAGACCUGUGAGCGCCGCAACGACAUCAACCAGGCCCUGGAUGCCACUGAGAUUCUGGGCAUCCUUCACAGCUACCUCAAUCCCCUCAUCUACGCCUUCAUUGGCCAGAAGUUUUGCCAUGGACUUCUCAAGAUUAUAGCCAUACACGGCUUGAUCAGCAAGGACUCCCUGCCCAAAGACAGCAGGCCUUCCUUUGUUGGCUCUUCUUCAGGGCACACUUCCACUACUCUCUAAGACCUCUUGCCUAAGUGCAGUCCCGUGGGGUUCCUCCCUUCUCUUCACAGUCACAUUCCAAGCCUCAUGUCCACUAGCUCUUCUUGGUCUCAGUGUCAGUGCAGCCCCCACUGUGGUCGCAGGAAGCAGAGGAGGCCACGUUCUUACUAGUUUCCCUUGCAUGAUUUAGAAAGCCUGCCCUGGUACCUCACCCCUUGCCAUAAUUACUACAUCACUUGCUGGAGCUCUGUCCCUCCUGCCCUUGAGCUCAUGGCACUCUAUGUUCUAAGAAGUGAAAAUCUACACUCCAGUGAGACAGCUCUGCAUACUCAUUAGGAUGGUUAAUGUCAGAAGAAAGAAAAUCAUAAAAUAGAAGGUGUCCACAAAGGUGCAGAGAAAGUGGAAUUCUCGGGCAUCGUGAGCGGGAAUGUAAAAUGUUGUGGCCACUGCGGAAGACAGUAUGGCAUCUUUCCUCAAAACAUCAGACAUAGAAUUACCACAUGAUCCUGCAAUUCCACUUGUAGUAAUUGACCCACAAGAAGUGAAAGCAGGGACUUGAACACAUAUUUGUACACCAAUAUUCAUAGCUGCUUAUUCAUAAGACCCAAAAGGCAGAAACAACCCAAAUGUUCAUCAAUGAAUGAAUGAAUGAAUGGCUAAACAAGAUGUGAUGUGUACAAUGUUCAUCAAUGAAUGCAUGGCUAAGCAAAAUGUGAUAUGUACAUAACGAAGUAUCCUUCAGCCUGAAAGAGGAAUGAAGUACUCAUACUUGUUACAACACGGACGAACCUUGAAAACUUCAUGCUAAGUGAAAUAAGCCAGACAUAAACAGAUAAAUAGUUUAUGAUUCCACUUACAUGAGGUACUGAGAGUGAACAAAUUCACAGAGACAGAAAGCAGAACAGUGAUUACCAGGGACUGAGGGGAGGGGAGUAUGGGGAGUGAUGGUUUAAUGGGCACAGAGUUUAUGUUUGGGAUGUUGAAAAAGUUGUAAAGAUAAACAGUAGUGAUAGUUGUACAAUAAUGUCUGAGUACUUAAUGCCACUAAACUGUACACUUAAAUGUCUAAAAUGGUAAAAUUUUAUGUAUAUUUUACCUCAAUUAAAAAGAAAACACCUUGGCCCCCAAAGGUACUUUUGCCAAAGAACCAAGGCUGAAAUUUCUUGCUAAAUGAGAUAAUUAAAUGUCUUUCAUUGCUUAAACCA
ensembl:lncRNA novel transcript